rnacentral:rRNA from 1 species
UGUCGGCGACCGGCGCACGGGUGCGUAACGCGUAUGCAACCUACCCAUUACAGGGGGAUAACACUGAGAAAUCGGUACUAAUACCCCAUAACAUCCAGGGAGGCAUCUUCUUGGGUUGAAAACUCCGGUGGUAAUGGAUGGGCAUGCGUUGUAUUAGUUAGUUGGUGGGGUAACGGCUCACCAAGACAACGAUACAUAGGGGGACUGAGAGGUUAACCCCCCACAUUGGUACUGAGACACGGACCAAACUCCUACGGAAGGCAGCAG